rnacentral:rRNA from 1 species
UACACUCCUGCGGGAGGCAGCAGUGGGGAAUUUUGGACAAUGGGCGAAAGCCUGAUCCAGCAAUGCCGCGUGAGUGAAGAAGGCCUUCGGGUUGUAAAGCUCUUUUGUCAGGGAAGAAACGGUGAGAGCUAAUAUCUUUUGCUAAUGACGGUACCUGAAGAAUAAGCACCGGCUAACUACGUGCCAGCAGCCGCGGUAAUACGUAGGGUGCAAGCGUUAAUCGGAAUUACUGGGCGUAAAGCGUGCGCAGGCGGUUUUGUAAGUCUGAUGUGAAAUCCCCGGGCUCAACCUGGGAAUUGCAUUGGAGACUGCAAGGCUAGAAUCUGGCAGAGGGGGGUAGAAUUCCACGUGUAGCAGUGAAAUGCGUAGAUAUGUGGAGGAACACCGAUGGCGAAGGCAGCCCCCUGGGUCAAGAUUGACGCUCAUGCACGAAAGCGUGGGGAGCAAACAGGAUUAGAAACCCGUGUAGUCC